UCCUUAUAGACCGUACCCGAAACCGACACAGGUGGACUGGUAGAGCAUACCAAGGCGCUUGAGAGAACGAUGCUGAAGGAACUCGGCAAAUUGCACGCGUAACUUCGGGAUAAGCGUGACUUCGUUCCGGGCAACCGGUUCGGAGUGGCACAGAAUUGGGGGUAGCGACUGUUUACUAAAAACACAGGGCUCUGCGAAGCCGCAAGGCGACGUAUAGGGCCUGACGCCUGCCCGGUGCCGGAAGGUUAAAUGGAGGGGUGCAAGCUCUGAAAUGAAGCCCCGGUAAACGGCGGCCGUAACGAUAACGGUCCUAAGGUAGCGAAAUUCCUUGUCGGGUAAGUUCCGACCUGCACGAAUGGCGUAACGACUUCCCCACUGUCUCCAGCAUCGACUCAGUGAAACUGAAUUCCUCGUGAAGAUGCGAGGUUCCUGCGGUUAGACGGAAAGACCCCAUGCACCUUUACUAUAGCUUUGCGUUGGCAUUCGUGUCGGGAUGUGUAGGAUAGGUGGUAGGCUAUGAAGUCAGGACGCCAGUUCUGAUGGAGCCGCAAGAUGAAAUACCACCCUUUUUGACAUGAGUGUCUAACCGCGGCAUAACAGUGCCCGGAACAGCGCAUGGUGGGUAGUUUGACUGGGGCGGUCGCCUCCCAAAGAGUAACGGAGGCGCGCGAUGGUUGGCUCAGAGCGGUCGGAGAUCGCUCGUUGAGUGCAAUGGCAUAAGCCAGCCUGACUGCGAGACUGACAAGUCGAGCAGAGACGAAAGUCGGUCAUAGUGAUCCGGUGGUCCCGAGUGGAAGGGCCAUCGCUCAACGGAUAAAAGGUACGCUGGGGAUAACAGGCUGAUGGUGCCCAAGAGUCCAUAUCGACGGCACCGUUUGGCACCUCGAUGUCGGCUCAUCACAUCCUGGGGCUGGAGCAGGUCCCAAGGGUAUGGCUGUUCGCCAUUUAAAGUGGUACGUGAGCUGGGUUUAGAACGUCGUGAGACAGUUCGGUCCCUAUCUGCCGUGGGUGUUGGAAUAUUGAGAGGAGCUGACUCUAGUACGAGAGGACCGAGUUGGACGCACCUCUGGUGGACCUGUUGUGGCGCCAGCCGCGUAGCAGGGUAGCUACGUGCGGACGGGAUAAGCGCUGAAAGCAUCUAAGCGCGAAGCCUCCCUUGAAACGAGUAUUCCCUAAACAGAGCCGUGGUAGACCACCACGUUGAUAGGCCGGGUGUGGAAGCGCAGCAAUGUGUGAAGCUUACCGGUACUAAUAGCCC
rnacentral:rRNA from 1 species